rnacentral:rRNA from 1 species
UACGCUGGCGGCACGCCUAAACAUGCAAGUCGAACGAAGUAGCAAUACUUAGUGGCAGACGGGUGAGUAACAUGUAGGUAUCUGCCCUUUGGCCUGGAAUAACACGAGGAAACUUGUGCUAAUACCGGAUAAGUCUUUACGGAGAAAGCUUUAUGCACCAUUGGAUGAGCCUGCACUUGAUUAGUUUGUUGGUGGGGUAAUGGCCUACCAAGACUGUGAUCAAUAGCUGAUUUGAGAGGAUGAUCAGCCACAUUGGGACUGAGACACGGCCCAAACUCCUACGGGAGGCAGCAGUGGGGAAUCUUGCACAAUGGAGGAAACUCUGAUGCAGCGAUGCCGCGUGAGUGAAGAAGGCCCUUGGGUUGUAAAGCUCUUUCGUCGGGGAAGAAAAUGACUGUACCCGAAUAAGAAGGUCCGGCU